CGAAUCCGCGAUACAAUCUGUACCGCAGGCGAUCACGCGUCCGCCUCUGCAGCAGCACACGCACAAGGGCAUUGACCACUGGAGGCAGAGCACUUCUUCCACAUCAGACGUGUGCUUCCCUCGGCGUGCCUUUCUACCAUUUGUUGGCUCCCCUUUGCUCCGCCGCUACAGCACAUCCCCCCACACUCACCAUGGCAGAGGAGAAGAUCAAGAUCAUCGUCGUUGGCCCGGUCAAGAGCGGCAAGACGACCAUCACGAACUUUCUGAGCGGCACGCGCGAGACGGCAACGAGCAAGUACUACGAGACGAACCCGCUCCGCAUUGUGGAGACGGAGAUCGAGCUCGACUCCAUGAACCUCACCGAUCGCCGAGUUGUCUUCUCCGGUGGCGACGCCAAGACGAAGCGGGUAUUGGUGCAAAUUUGGGACCUCAGCGGCAACAGCAAGCACCAGGCGGGCUGGCCGGCCGUUGCGAACGGGGCCGAUGGCAUCAUCUUUGUCUUCGACCCGGCGCUGAAGAACGGCGAGAAGGAGCUGUCGCUGUGGCACAAGACGUUCGCCGUGAACCAGUCGGAGCUGGACGCGCUUGGCAACUUUGCCGUCCGGGUCCCUGACAAGCACUGUCUCGUCUUUGCCCAUCACUCGACGCCCCCGAACAACGUAGCAGGCGAGGGAUUGCCUUCCAUGCCGAAGGGCCUAGAGAAAAUCAAGGUGCUGGAGACGUCGCUCGACUACCACAGCGACAACUUCAAGGCGGCCUUUGACAAGCUGAUUGAGUCCAUCGUUGUCGCCCGGAUGGAGGCGGAGGAGGAUGAGGUCCUUCAACGCGAAGGGCGCAUGCACUUCUAGGCCACGAUGCCGGCCUACAAGGAAGCACAUAGAGCUGCCGUGGCUCUGCAGUCUUUCAUCCCUUUUCAUUCGCUGGGCCGGCAACACUCGCGUUUCCAAUGUGCGAACAAACAUGCGUAGGCGCACGUGUGCGUGCUUGCGCGUCGGCGUGCUUCGCUGUGUCUUUGAUGUGCGUGUGAUGUGCACGGUGAACCAGCGGCGAUGAUGUACAGCUUCCCCAGCGACGCAGACGCCCACCUCUUUCUGUCUAUCGGUGACUUCUCCGUCUCAAGUCGUGUUUUGCCUCGGAGUGCGCCCGUGCUUGGCCGCUUUUUCUUGUUUUCCCUCCUUGUUGUUCCGGUUAUUGCGCUCUCGUUGCGUCGCUGCCUCGCUCGCUGAUGGCCCUCCUCAGGCCCUUCUCUUACCUGUCUCUUUUCGGUGUCAGUCUCCGUCUUUUGCGCCCGCGGCGGCACCAAUGAAGCGCACAUCAUGCGGAGCAACACCUGGGGAUACAGCGGAAAGGCAAAGGACCUUUGGAACCUAUUCCCCGGCCAAGCAGACUGAAGGGCUCCUUCCCUUUCGAAUGGAAGACAGCGUGCCUCGAGCAUUCCGACCUCAGCAGCAACCGCACAAUAUUGACACGCAACACC
rnacentral:misc_RNA from 1 species